rnacentral:rRNA from 1 species
AUUGAACGCUGGCGGCAGGCCUAACACAUGCAAGUCGAACGAGUGGCGGACGGGUGAGUCAUGUCUGGGAAACUGCCUGAUGGAGGGGGAUAACUACUGGAAACGGUAGCUAAUACCGCAUACCAUCAGAUGUGCCCCGAUGGGAUUAGCUUGUUGGUGGGGUAACGGCUCACCAAGGCGACGAUCCCUAGCUGGUCUGAGAGGAUGACCACGCACACUGGAACUGACACACGGUCCAGACUCCUAAGGGAGGCAGGAGUGGGGAAUAUGGCAAAAUGGGCGCAGGCCGGAUGCAGCCAGGCCGCGUGUAUGAAGAAGGCCUUCGGGUUGUAAAGUACUUUCAGCGGGGAGGAGUUAAACGCAGAAGAAGCACCGGCUAAAUCCGUGCAAGCCGCCGCGGUAAUAC